UGUGGGUGGCCUUUCCAGUCAGGUUAAAUAAUCGCUACGGCGAGAUGCGUUCAUCAGUGCAAACAACAAUCGAUGCGGUCACAAGUAUGGUCGUGUUUUGCGAAGACCGCACGAUUCAGCGAUAAUAGUACAUGUAUAAAGAAUUAAAGCAUCAAGAGUGGAGCGAAGCAAGAAACUGCUUAGUAAUCUUAAGAAGAGGACCACCGCCAUUCUAUUUACGGAUGAGAAGCUGUUUACUGUCGAUAUCGUGUCCAACAGUCGCCCCAAUUGUGUAUGGGCGAAUAUUGAAGCCCGUGUAUGUGAACAUCCUCACUCGAAUUUGAUCUCUCUACGGACCUUCAUUACAAUGCAUUGGAGAGAAAUGUCAUCAGAUUAUAUUGUCAAGGUUUGCAAAAGCUUUAGGCGUCGUCUAGAGGCGGAGGUCAUAUGGAGUGAAGACGAAGCUUAAUCUUCUACGAACAUUUUAUGUUAAUACAGGUUGUAUUUAUUAAUUAAUAAAAUUAAAAAUGUUA